rnacentral:rRNA from 1 species
GAUGAACGCUGACAGAAUGCUUAACACAUGCAAGUCAACUUGAAUUUGGGUUUUUUAACUUAGAUUUGGGUGGCGGACGGGUGAGUAACGCGUAAAGAACUUGCCUCACAGCUAGGGACAACAUUUGGAAACGAAUGCUAAUACCUGAUAUUAUGAUUAUAAGGCAUCUUAGAAUUAUGAAAGCUAUAUGCGCUGUGAGAGAGCUUUGCGUCCCAUUAGCUAGUUGGAGAGGUAACGGCUCACCAAGGCGAUGAUGGGUAGCCGGCCUGAGAGGGUGAACGGCCACAAGGGGACUGAGACACGGCCCUUACUCCUACGGGAGGCAGCAGUGGGGAAUAUUGGACAAUGGACCAAGAGUCUGAUCCAGCAAUUCUGUGUGAACGAUGACGUUUUUCGGAAUGUAAAGUGCUUUCAGUUGGGAAGAAAAAAAUGACGGUACCAACAGAAGAAGUGACGGCUAAAUACGUG